UCGCGGCUUAUCACCGGCAGUCCCCUUAGAGUGCCCAACUAAAUGAUGGCAGCUAAGGGCGAGGGUUGCGCUCGUUGCGGGACUUAACCCAACAUCUCACGACACGAGCUGACGACGGCCAUGCAGCACCUGUGUCCUAGUUCUCUUUCGAGCACUCCCACAUCUCUGCGGGAUUCUAGGCAUGUCAAGGGUAGGUAAGGUUUUUCGCGUUGCAUCGAAUUAAUCCACAUAAUCCACCGCUUGUGCGGGUCCCCGUCAAUUCCUUUGAGUUUUAACCUUGCGGCCGUACUCCCCAGGCGGAUAACUUAAUGCGUUAGCUGCGCCACCUAAGCACCAAGUGCCCAGACAGCUAGUUAUCAUCGUUUACGGCGUGGACUAC
rnacentral:misc_RNA from 1 species